ensembl:lncRNA
GCCAGAUCUUGACACAUAUCUUGCAGAAGCAUGACUUCUCCAAGCACUGUGUGCCUGCCAGUCUGACGAUGUGACCUGAAGCUGGUGAACGUGACUGUUUGUUGUGCCUGAGCCUCAUUCAGGGAUUUCUUUGUUUAUUUUCUUUAGUCUUUUUUGGACCUCCCUGACCACAUCCUCUUACGUUUUUUCAGCGUUACUCCUACCGUCAUCCCUGUCGCCCCCCAUCAAAACACACCCAUGUAGUCCUAGGCAUGUGCACAGUGUCAUGCAUACAGGAAAUGGAACGUGCUGCUGAAACAAUAGAAAGACAUCUUAACUGCAGCCAGGAGCCACACUGCAGACGAAGCAGUGGCACAUAGAUGAGACAUUAGGUCACUUUUGCCAAAUUUCUGGAACCCUUUGCGCUGGACUAUGAGCUUAUUGAUAUGUGAACGUGUGGAUUUUAAAUUUUAUCUUCACAUUAGAAGACUCUUUGGGACAACACUUGGUUUUUUCAAGUGUGACUUCUAAUUUAACAUACAGCCCAGUGGAUGAUAAUAAUAAUAUUGGUGUCUUUUUAGGCCAUUUGCCCAAGGGCUCUCUUACAGUUCCGCCUCCUCUUCCUCCUUCUCUUUCUGUCCAGGCUCCCUGUCUGACUGUCUGUGUCUCUACGUGACCGGUCCCGGGUCUUUCAGUGCCAGUGGAGGCCGCCGUGACAUGAGAUACCACUAACUAGCUUCCUGCCAUUAUUCCUAAUUGCCCCACGGCCCGGAACUGUGCAGACACCCUGGGUGGGGCGUGACUGAGGAGUAUGUUCGUCUAUGAGCUGUGUGGAAGAACCACUCGUCUGCAAGUGCAGCAGAUACUGAACUCGACUGUUUUGCUCUCCGCUGGUGAUCGUGGAGGUCCCAAAGAACACCAAAAAGCCAAAGAAGCCUUAACCUAAAGUUGCUGCCACAUUGUUUUCUACUUUGGCAUGUCUGAUGCCAUAUUAGAAAAUAUUUUAAAUGGGUUUAAAUGUGAGGAAUUGAAGGAAUGUCGAAUUGUGCUAGAUUGUUAGGAGUGUAUGUAUCAUUCUUGAUCCAAUCCUGCACAGAUCCUGUUUGAUCUGUUUAGUGUUGAACAAUUGCAUUUUAUUUGUGUGUUUGUGUGAAAUUUUAAUAAUAAAUGUACAGUUUUGUGUUGUUUUUUGUUGUUGCUUGCCCUUUCUUACUUGUAAAAUGAAAGCAACAUUUCAUUUUGUAUUUGAGUUUUUAAAAUAAAUGCUGUUAAAAAUUUA